rnacentral:rRNA from 1 species
UUGAUCUCAAAUCAGGUAGGGCUACCCGCUGAACUUAAGCAUAUCAAUAAGCGGAGGAAAAGAAACUAACAAGGAUUCCCCUAGUAACUGCGAGUGAAGCGGGAAGAGCUCAAAUUUAAAAUCUGGCGUCCUCUGGUCGUCCGAGUUGUAGUCUGGAGAAGCGUUUUCCGUGUCGGACCGUGUAUAAGUCUCUUGGAACAGGGCGUCAUAGAGGGUGAGAAUCCCGUCUUUGACACGGACUGCCGAUGCUUUGUGAUGCGCUCUCAAAGAGUCGAGUUGUUUGGGAAUGCAGCUCAAAAUGGGUGGUAAAUUCCAUCUAAAGCUAAAUAUAGGCGAGAGACCGAUAGCGAACAAGUACCGUGAGGGAAAGAUGAAA